rnacentral:pre_miRNA from 1 species
AUAUGCCUGGCUCCCUGUAUGCCGCUCGCAUGGCUACCACCGCCUGUGGUCGUUGCGGCUGGCGUGCGAGGUGCCAGGCAUGU